GACGAACGCUGGCGGCGUGCUUAACACAUGCAAGUCGAACGGAAAGGCCCUGCUUUUGUGGGGUGCUCGAGUGGCGAACGGGUGAGUAACACGUGAGUAACCUGCCCUUGACUUUGGGAUAACUUCAGGAAACUGGGGCUAAUACCGGAUAGGAGCUCCUGCUGCAUGGUGGGGGUUGGAAAGUUUCGGCGGUUGGGGAUGGACUCGCGGCUUAUCAGCUUGUUGGUGGGGUAGUGGCUUACCAAGGCUUUGACGGGUAGCCGGCCUGAGAGGGUGACCGGCCACAUUGGGACUGAGAUAAGGCCCAGCCUCGUACGGGAGGCAGCGGUGGGGAAUAUUGCACAACGGGAUGAAGCCUGAUGCGACAACGCCGCGUGCGGGAUGACGGCCUUCGGGUUGUAAACCGCUUUCGCCUGUGACGAAGCGUGAGUGACGGUAAUGGGUAAAGAAGCACCGGCUAACUACGUG
rnacentral:rRNA from 1 species